CCUUACACCAUUAACACAUAUACUAAAAUCGGAAUGAUACAGAGAAGAUUAACAUGCUCCUUGCACAAAGAUAACAUGCAAAUUUGUGAAGUGUUUCAUUUUAAA
rnacentral:snRNA from 1 species